AUGUUCAUCUACAUUAUAAUACUGAUGUAUAAUGCAGGUUCCAGAGCCUCAGAAGUCAUCACUCCAAUAACUGACAGAGAGUUUGCUGUUGAAGGUGACAAUGUGACUCUCUCUUGUAACUACAGUGGAUCUGUUCUUAGUGUUCACUGGUAUCGCAAAUAUUCAGGUUCACCUCCACAGUUCCUCAUACUGGACUAUUCAGGAGUAAUUACUCCAGCUGAUCCACCAGUUCCAGGAAUCUCCAUCAAUCACAGAAAAAAACAAAGCCAUGUGGAUCUGCUGCUCUCCUCUGCUGCAGUAUCAGACUCUGCUGUGUAUUACUGCGCUCUGCAGCCCACAGUCACAGGAAAUUCAACAACGUCAAACAAAAAAAAGCUUUCAUCACAACCUCAGAUUCUCAACAACACCAAUUUAGCCAGGAUGACAGUUUACUUUAGAAAUAUGCUUGAACAUUUGGUUCUCACAUUAUUUCUGGAACUCUGA